GAAGGCCCAGGGAUUAUGACUCAAUACACCACACCCCAGCAGAGACUGCUAUCCCCCAUCACCUGCAACAGCCAGCAGGAGGCCAAGCCCCCUUUUCCCAGUGCCAGGAGGUCCUCCUAGCCACAGCCGUCACCAUAGACCCAGACCUCCUCUUUGAGAGAACUAGAGCUGAAUAUUUGCCUGAAUUAGCCAAGCAGAGAAAGAGUAACUAAAAUGGUAUUGAGAUCAUUGGAUUGGUUUAAGAUUGUGAUAUUGGACUACCUUUUUACUCUGGCUACUGCCCCAAAUGAUGAGAGUUCAUAAGAUGCAAUCUGUAACAGGAUAUAAUGGAGUAAGAUUCUAUUUAUACACCUGAGUACAGUGUGAGGGAAUUUACAACCCUGACAGGAAGGCAGCUGUACGGCUUUCAUGAGUUGUUUCAACAGAGGGAGAAGAAGCCAGGAGAGCCAAUUUCUGACGGCAAGUGUUGAAGAAGGUGGUGAAGAGGAGGAUUCUGUGAAUAAACUGCAUAUUUACUGGCCAAGGGCAAUGACUGCUUAACAACUUCUCCGAUU
rnacentral:lncRNA from 1 species